rfam:Rattus norvegicus chromosome 3, whole genome shotgun sequence.
GGGGAUUUAGCUCAGUGGUAGAGCACUUGCUUAGCAAGCACAAGGCCCUGGGUUCAGUCCCCA